GGUGCCGUGGUGUAGCCGUUAGCACUCAGGGCUCUGAAACAUACGACAGGAGUUCAAAUCUCCCCAGGAGCU